UACGGGGGGGGGCAAGCGUUGUUCGGAAUUACUGGGCGUAAAGCGCACGUAGGCGGAUCUUUUAAGUCAGGGGGUGAAAUCCUGGAGCUCAACUCCAGAACUGCCUUUUGAUACUGGGGGAUCUCGAGUCCGGGGAGAGGUGAGUGGAACUGCGAGUGUAGAGGUGAAAUUCGUAGAUAUUGGAAGAACACCAGUGGCGAAGGCGGCUCACUGGACUGGUAUUGAC
rnacentral:rRNA from 1 species